CAGUAGCCACGGGAAUACGAAGGGUGCAAGCGUUACUCGGAAUUACUGGGCGUAAAGCGUGUGUAGGUGGUUGUUUAAGUCUGUCGUGAAAGCCCUGGGCUCAACCUGGGAAUUGCGAUGGAUACUGGGCGACUAGAGUGCGGUAGAGGAUAGUGGAAUUUCCGGUGUAGCGGUGAAAUGCGUAGAGAUCGGAAGGAACAUCUGUGGCGAAGGCGACUAUCUGGCCAACACUGACACUGAGACACGAAAGCGUGGGGAGCAAACAGGAUUAGAUACCCCGGUAGUCCCUGUCUCUUAUACC
rnacentral:rRNA from 1 species